CUGAGUUGGGGGGAGGGGCAGGGGGCUCCCCUGGAGAGCCCCCCCAGUAACCGCCCUUCCCCCCAGGAACCCCUCUCUGGAGCGGUGCCGGCGCUGCGGCUGCGCCGGGAGGAGGCAGCCGAGGUGGCAGCGCUGGACGUGGGAACAUCAUCACUCGGAUGGCGUCCCCCGGCGCUGCAACAUCUGGAGCCUGUACAGCACCCCGCCAGCCGCCCCCCAGCCGACACCCACCGGCCCGCGCGCCCCAGUGGAAUCUGGUCCAGCCUCCGUGGCGUGAUCAGCAGUGACGGGGAAAGCGAGUGAGGCUGGGGGGCAGCGCCUGGUAUAACACAAACACACCUCGCCUGCUGGGGGCCUGGGAAGUGGGGCUCAACCCCGCCAUUCCCUGCUUGGAAGGGCCCAUUGUUUGGGGGGGGCAGGUCGGGGAGUGCCGCAGGAUGGGGGGCAAAUCCAUCUCCCAUUCCCCACUUUGGGGCUCCAGGGCUGAUUUAGGGUGAACUUGGGACAGAAAUCGGGGGGGGGAGGGAGCUAACCUCUUGGAACUCCCUCCGGUGUCUGGCACUUUCAGGGGUGAUCCCACCUGACACCCCAAAACUGGAGGUUGGGGGACCCCUGAACCACUAGCAGGGGCCUCCCUGCAGAGCUGGGGCAGCAGCCGUCCGCCCCCAGGGGAGCCAGAGGUGACCCCAAAAUACUCCCACGCUGGCCCCUCAAUGAAGGAUGCUGGGGCAGGGGGCUGGAUGUGUCCUGGCUUGGGGGGCACCCCAUAGUUCUACACCCAGGGGGCAGUUACCCUCCCAUCCCAACCCCCCCAGUUGUAAGUGUCUUUGUUUUAUGCAAGUUUUUUAUAUUGUAAAAUAAAAUAAAUUUUGUUAUUUAA